AGUCCUGAAGACCUAACUCU
rnacentral:snRNA from 1 species